UGAACCAAGCCAUGCACAUGCACAACCAUGUCAUGCCAUGCAUCUCCACUAAUGCCUUUUAGUGCCACGUGGUAAAUCCCACUACCACCAUUCCAUGUAAAAGUGACAAACCUCACGUGAAUAUUUCCCAUGCAAAAUCCAUGCAAGCAAUUCACGUCCAAUUCAAGGACUCUCAUGCACAAGUCUCACUUCCCACAAUAACUCGGCCAAUCACACAAUUCCGGCUUCACUCGGG
rnacentral:misc_RNA from 1 species